AGAGAGGCUCCAGAGCGCCCUGCAGAUGGGUUGCUUUUCGCGUGCCCCUUGUGAUGGGAGGAUUAGGUCGCAGGCUCCACCCUACGUCAUCCUCCCAAGCUUCUCAAGCGUCUGGCGCUUGGGGUCACUGCCCUCAAGGAGGCACCUGGAGGGGGGGAUGGCGUCCACUCCGAUGGGGAAUGAGGGGGAGAAGAAGAGCAGCUGGCCAUCUCAAGCUGCACCCUCCUUGAGAGGAGGUCCGGCUUCGUUAUCUCGUUCUGAGGAAUACCUGUCCCAGAUCAGUGCAGAACUCAUGGAGGAGGCUUUGUGCACUGCUUGCUGCCACUUGAACCCUGUGCCCAUCAAAAAAAAGCAGUCACAAGACCAAGCGACUCAGAUAUCCAAACGCGCAUUCUUCACCAAGACCUGAGGCACAGACACCUGGUGAGUGAGGCUUCAAGGGAGAUGCUCUUUGUCCUGGGAGAGAGCCCUCUCCCCUCUCUUCCACCAUCUCCUGCUCGGACAGAAACCGUACCUGCAGCAAGGCAUACCUCCUGCCAACUCCUGGUGAAAAGAACAUGCCUCAAAACUACUCUUUUGCCACUCGUUAACCACUUCCGUUUGUGGGGACCUCCUGGUCAUGAGCAGCAUCAUCCCGAAGCCUUCAAAGUGUUCUGGAUUCAUCACAGGACCCUCCAGCCUCAGCCAGCAAGGAUACCACCAGGAAUGAAAGUGCUUUAAUAAAGAGACAGGGUGUGCAUUGCUCAUGUGUGGUUUCUCUGGGCUUUGGGCUUCAUGCCUGUGAGAACAUAUCACACUC
rnacentral:lncRNA from 1 species